UUAACUAUUUAAUAGUACUCAGACGACACUAACAUUCAGAGUUUAGGGGUCCUCUGGCGGGCACGCUGGACGCGAAUCCAGGCAAGCCAAGCUUGCGGCCCGCCAAAGCAACAUUCUAUAAUGAUACACAAGGGUGGGAGAUCUACCCCGAAGGGCAUGAACUCUAUAAUGAUCCUUCCGCAGGUUCACCUACGGAAA
rnacentral:misc_RNA from 1 species